UGUUCCAAAAGCUUCCAUGGCUCCCUUUGGUCUCUAGGAGAGAGCCCAAAUCUCUCAGCUCUGUAUCUAAGACCGUGGAAGAGUCAUCUCUUCCUGAUUUCCCAACAUCUUUGUUGGUCAGCAUUCCUCAGUCAUGGCAAGCAUUUUCAUGCCUCCGGAUCUAGAAACGGCUAUUCUCUCUGCUUCCCCUUCCCUCCCAUUCUUUCCCCUUUUCUGGGCCCAAGACAGAUCACACUGUUGUUAGUCAUUCAGACUCUAUUUCCCUCCUGAUUCCAAGGUUCAUGUGGACAAGGCUGGGAAUUAUUUUUUUCUUUUACCAAGGACGGGCACCCAGGAAAUGUUGGGAGGUAGACUGAGAAGGAGAAAUGCACUCUGCUCUUCAAGAAUACAUAGCCUAUAAGGCAAUGUGCUCUUUUCUUCUCAAAUUAGGACUAUCCAUAUUUCAGUUUGAAUAUGAAGCUGCUGGUUAUCAGAAGGAACGUUGGGAAGUCAGCUCAGAGAGACUCCCCUGAAUCAGUGUGGUGGAGCCCCUCCUCACAGAUGGGAAGCAGAGGGAAACGAUCUCAUGCAACAGAGCUCUGGAAGCAAAGUUGGACUCAGCACGCGGGUACAGGGCACAAAGUACCCAAGGUGUGCACUCUUUUGGGAAUCCAAGUCCUUGAGAGUGUUGGAGCAGGAGAAGCAUGGUAGGGAAGGGCAAGAGGUCCAAGGCCCAAUGCCAGUGGUGGCACAGUCCAGGUUGGUGAUUAAAGACCAAGAGGGCAGCCUCAAAUCCUUAGAGAACUCGAACAAGGUGCCUCCCUCCUCUGACUGUUCCCUGCACAGUUAAUACUCAGCAAGCCUUAGCUGAAUAAAAUUGCACGAACAGUCCAGCACAGGGUGUGAACGGGGCUAAAGAAGUCUGGAAGUCUGAGAAGUCUGGAAGUUUGCCUGGGUUUUGAGGAUGGUGUUUGGCCAGCCCUUAAAGUUUCAGGUAUCACCCCAUGGGUCCAUCACUCCAGAGUUAAGAAGGCCAACUCAGAAGAACCCACAACCUGGCGAAGUGAUCCAGAUCCAGUCAACCCACUUAAACUGACCCUCAAAAGGGAAACUGCCCCUGCGACCUCCAGCCCUGCUCCAGCCACACCCCGGAAGCUGGCUUGCCUGCGCACAGCAGAAGCUUGAGGAAUCAACUCAUGAACCUAGCCCAGGGGUCUGGAUGCAACUCUGCCAGCCCUUGCCCCUUAUUGGUGUCAUAGCCCUGAUCUUACUUCUUGCUGUUGGGCUGAUAGAGACUGCACCAACAAGCUGGACAUGGGACAAAAGAUGCAUGCUGGGUCUCACACACCUCCUCUGGAUGGGAGGGCCAUUAAGUAUUGUCUGUAUAUUAUGAUAACCUCUCUCACCCUCACAACUGCCGCUUACCCACUUUGCCUCCAGGAUUGCUAUAUGACAAUAAGGGGGUCAAGGGUGCUCAGUGCCUUCACCUCCCUCCACGAAGAUUGCUACAAGGGAAAAACACCCACUCUCUGUCAGUCACCUGGUGCCCCCAAGGACUAAGUUUUGGACCGUAGAGAUAACACAAAAUGUCAGGAACCCAUGUCACAACAAGGGCCUCCAGAGAGGGAAGCCAGCUUGCUACACUUACCUUCCUCAAUGGGGGAUCUCAGAUGGGGGAGGGGUGAAGACAGGGCCCUUCAAAAAGUUAUAAAGGAUACCCAGGAUAGGGUAAUACAGGCCAUAAAGGCGACCACUCCCCCGGCAGCCUACCAAGGUUUGGACCUUUCAGCCCUCAAUCAGAUGCUUACAAAUUCCCCGCUACUCUCCAAGUCCUCCAUAAAAUAGAUAAUCACACCCAAACCUGCUGGAUGUGCUUGCCCCUCGGCCGGAGGGCUUACCUAGCCACUCCCAUCCCUUUGACCUGGGAAGCUCCUGAAAAUCUCAAAACCAACACCUCUGUCUUAAUUGGACCCCUGGCCACUGGGGUCCAUCUCACAAAUGCCGACAAUCUAAUCUGUACAGUCCCUGAAGGUAUGAACAGUACCUCUCUAUGCGGAAGAAAUAUAACCUUAGAGAGGAAUGCAACCCUGUGUUCAACCCCUGGGGUGUUCUGUGUUCUAGUUCGCCUACUGAUGCUUAGAGGCCAACUGGACUCAGAUAUGUUAUUCCAUCUUCCUAACCCCAGAAAUAUCCGUGUACACGGAAGAUCAGCUCCUAACAGCCUUUAGCCCCAAGUCCCGGACUAAAUGGGCAAUCCUGGUACCCGUUCUGAUAGGAGCAGGAAUUGCGACAAGAAUAGGAGCCAGAAUAGAGGGCGUAGGUUCAUCCGAAGGACUGUACCAUAGACUAUCUCAAGAGAUAAAUGAGGACAUGGAACAGGUGGCAGAUUCUCUGGUAAACUUACAAAGCCAAAUAAACUCUCUGGCGGCAGUGACCCUCCAAAAAUGGGCAAGCCCUCAACCUCCUCACUUCAGAAAAAGGAGCGACAUGCAUCUUUCUGGGGGAGGAAUGUUGCUAUUUCGUAAACCAGUCAGGAAUAGUUACAGCUAAGGUUAAGGAACUCAAAGAAAGAAUUCAAGGUAGACAACAGGAAAGUAUCAAUCAAUGGAAAGGAUGGGAUCUCACGGAUUGGGCAUCCUGGCUUCCUGCCCUGGCAGGGACCCUCCUCUCCAUAAUUUUACUUGUAUCCAUUGGCCCCGUAUACUGAAUGCCAUGGUACAUUUUAUUGAAAACACUGUUUCUCGCCAAACUACUGCACGUGGCUUAGCCUUCCAAGAGUACCAACCUAUAAAACUGAAAGGUGAUGCCUACUAAAAGUUUUUUAAAGGGCAUCAAAGAGGGGGAAUGUUGGAGAAGUGAAUAAAGUAUUGCACCAAAGAUGACCGAUGGGGCUAAAACAGACUCUGGUCUCUAGCUUAGAGACCCCUCCUCCGGGUUCUUCUUCUUUUGUUUGCUGUGCACAGGAAAACCCCCACAGAUAUGGAAGCUGAUGACUAUACAUUAUCCUCCCCACUUACAUUUGGCGCCUAGACCUUUGGAGAAAGUCUCCUCUGAGCCGGCCGGUGUUAAAUAAAUCUCCGAUCCACCAAGGUCUCCGAGUGCCGCUUGGUUUUUCCACCAGUGUUCCAGCCUGGUUCCAUAACAAGACCAUGACCAGAGCUGAAAUCAAGAGUUGGAUGCCCAACCCAGACACCCAGGCAUCCCAGAACUUUGUCCUAUUAACAGCCAAUUCUAAUUUUAUACCAGUGUACUUUUGAUAUUAAAAUUUAUUAAUCCCUUU